UAAAAACAUAAUCAUAAACUGCCCCCUGGUGGCGAAUAUGUGUUUCGCUUCAUCCUUGCAUUACGGUGGAGUGGGCGGAGCCUCGUGAAUGACGGUUAUUUUUUUCAAACGAGGAAGUGAAGUCAAGUCCGCCAUUUCAUCUUCUUCUUUAUAUCGGAAAAGAAAAGAAUCAUGCAAGGAUGCAAGCUGAAGGAAAGGACAACUCUCACAUCAGUGCAUUACUAAUUGUUUGACUUCAUCAUCAAGCACACCAGCUCAGAUUGUGAUGGACCUGGAAUGCGACACCAGUUACUCUUAAGUCAAGAGCCAAAUGAAGCACCAGAGUACAGAUUAUGGAGGUAUCUGAAGUUGAACUAACUGGAAGCAGGGAACCAUACUAAUAAAGUUCCUUUAGCAGGUUCCUUGUAAAGAUGAACCCAGGGAAGGAUCGAAAGUGGAGAAGACCAGAUCAAGAAAGACUACAUCAAGAUCUGCGGUCAGUUCAAAGGAUGUUUUGCAUUGGACUGUUUUUUUUUUUGGCUUUGACCCUUGCUCGCCCCUGACCUCACUCUUUAACUGCCCUGUUGGAUUUUCAGUUUAUUUUAUUUAUUUAUUUAUUUAUUUAUUUUUUGGUUCUGGGUAGAUGCUAAUAAAUAUUUAGUUG